CUUGAAGGAUGAAUCACUGGUCAGAAUUCUCAGCUGUGGACAAUCCCGUUCAGUGAGAUUCAAGCUGAAGAGGUCUUGUUGAAUUAUAUUAGGUAGCUUCCAGAUGUUCUUAGAUGAUCAGAAAUUCACACCGGGACACUACCAUUAUGUAGUUACGUGUUAUGUUUUGGAUCAAAAAUGCCCCCCCGCCAAAUAUCCUGUGUUCAGAGUUGGGGCUUUUGGGAGGUGAUGAAUCAUGGGGGCACUAAACUCAUCUGUGGGUUUAUCAGUCCGCUGAGUUUAUAGCUGAAUGUGCUGUCGGAGGUGGGGCCUGGUUGGAGGAGGUGGGUCACUGGGAGUGUAACCUGGAAGGGUAUCUUCUCCUCCCCGGCCCCUUUCUCUCUUUCUGGUUCUCUCUCUCUCCUUCCUGACAGCUGUAAAGCGGGAAGCUUUCUUUCUUCUACCGUGAUGUUUCUGCCUUGGAGCCAGCCUACUGAAACCUCUGAAGCCAUGAGCCCAAAUAAACCUGCCCUCCUUUAAGUUGCAAGUGUCAGAUAUUUUGUUCAUAGCAACAAAAACCUGGCAAAUUCACCCUGAAAACAUCAAGAGAGAGAUGCUCUGGGGAAAAGAUGCUGCUGAUACUCUUGGCCCUUAGUGGCCUCAAUCCUGCAGCCUGGUCCCCACCACAACUUCACCAAAGCAAAUGGGUAUCCCAGGAGCUGACCCCAGGAGCUUGGGGGCUGAGGAACUCUAAGAGAUGCUUUGACCUCCCAGGAGUCAGAACAGGCUGAAAGAGGCAUCUACCUAUCUUAUCUAUUGACGUCAAGUGUUCUUGAAGGCACAUUUGUUGGUGGCACAAGAAAUUCAGCAGAAAUGAGCCUUGGUAAAGAAUAAUGUCCCUAAGAACUUGCUCCUCCAAUAACCAUGGCAGAAAGCACCUGGGAAGUUUCUUACAAUGCAGUCCUCAGCUCCUGCCUGCCUAGAAGUCCUGCUCCAGUGCUGCCUAGAGUCCAUGUUUUAACAGAAACAGUGUUAGUUUCCUGGGCACUUUGGGUGGGAAUGAGCUCUGAGCUGGAGAAUGUUCAGGCUCUCUGCAUACAGAUCUACCUAGGGAAUUUUUCAUAGCCCUGGGUCCAGACCACACCCCAGAUGCACGGAUCCAGAAUGCCUGGAGGAGCAGGGAGGCUGGCUGCAGUAUAGUUCCCCAGGAUACCAGGGCCUAGGAACUCUUCUAGGCUUACCUGCCAGGUUUGGCUCCCCCGACCCUACAUCUCCAUCUCCCUGCAUACCUGCUAAUCAUGAUCUUUACCUGGUUUCCGUCUCUGCUGUGCAUCGAGAAGCUUUCACCUGCCUUCUACACUCUGUGUCCUCACCCUCUGCUCUGCAGCUUCCCCUUGCUCUCCUGCUCGUCCUCUGUGGCUUUCAGCAGGGCUGUAUCUCAGUAUCCUGGCCAGUGGCUGGGCUAUCAUCUCCUCCUGUCUGGAUCCUACCCUCCUCAGUGUGCUGUGGACUGCCUUUCAACACAUGCUGGCAGCAGGCAUCUCCAGAGUUGACACUUUACCAUCCCUGUCACUUCUUCCAUCCUUCCUCUGACUUCCUGGGGUCAGGCUUUGGGCCCUGUUAUACUACCAAACUCUUCUGACCCAUCAGUGGGUUGACCGCCGGUGGAAACACUCCUUGUUUUGGGCACUGCACCUCUCUGGUCCCCCUGCCUGGCUGCUGCACCUCCCAGACCCUCUGUUUAAAUUUCAAGGUACUUCAAUAUGACAGCCAAAGACAAUACUCAGGAGCAACAAGCAACAGGAGAGGGAAUUACAUCAAGAAGCUAGGAAGGUUCUGAUGCCGAGCACUUCCCAAGGAUGAGCCUCAAAGCAACGAUGUUUGCAAUGCCUGGCAGGUUCAUUAAAUAAAAGAUUGAUAUUCACCUUAAUCUUUGAAUUUGCUUAUGGGGUUCUCUGCUUGCUUCAGUGCACACAUUCUAAGAAACUCUGACAUAUUUUUCAUUAGAAGAAUUUCUAGUAGCCUUCUCUUCUGAAUCCAACUGUAGAAGGUUGACUACAAAGGGGAUUCAUCAAGGGAAGAACUUGACAAUGAG
ensembl:lncRNA